CAAACCGGAAAACCGGUUAGGCUAAUAACCGCAUAAUGCAGCGGCACCUAAUGGUGACAGUUGUUAAAGCGGGGGAGUCGAAAGACCUCGCGCUGAAGAGGAGCCUGCGGCGGAUUAGCUAGUUGGUAAGGUAAUGGCUUACCAAGGCUACGAUCCGUAACCGGCCUGAGAGGGCGGUCGGUCACACUGACACUGACAUACGGGUCAG
rnacentral:rRNA from 1 species